UGCCAGCCGCCGCGGUAAUACGGAGGGUGCAAGCGUUAUCCGGAUUUACUGGGUUUAAAGGGUGCGUAGGCGGAUUUGUAAGUCAGUGGUGAAAUCCUACGGCUCAACCGUAGAACUGCCAUUGAUACUGCAAACCUUGAGUAUGGUUGAGGUAGGCGGAAUGUAGCAUGUAGCGGUGAAAUACUUAGAUAUGCUACAGAACACCAAUUGCGAAGGCAGCUUACUAAACCAUUACUGACGCUGAGGCACGAAAGCGUGGGUAGCGAACAGGAUUAGAUA
rnacentral:rRNA from 1 species